GCCCCUAGCAAUACACAAGUAUUAGGGGUAAUGCCUGCCCAGUGACACUGUUAAACGGCCGCGGUAUCCUAACCGUGCAAAGGUAGCGUAAUCACUUGUCUUUUAAAUUAAGACUAGAAUGAAUGGCCAAACGAGGUUUUACCUGUCUCUUACAAGUAAUCAGUGAAAUUGGUCUUCCCGUGCAAAAGCGAGAAUGACAUUAUAAGACGAGAAGACCCUGUGGAACUUUAAAUACCCAUCAACUACUACCUAUCUAUAUCUACGGAUUUAAACAAACGUAAUUUUUGAUCCUAUUUUUGGUUGGGGCGACCUCGGAGAACAACAAAACCUCCGAAAAAGAACAUAACAUUUCAAUACCUAGACUUACAAUUCAAAGUGCCUACGGCAAAAUGAUCCAAUAUACUUGAUCAACGAACCAAGCUACCCCAGGGAUAACAGCGCAAUCCCAUCUCAGAGUCCUUAUCGACGAUGGGGUUUACGACCUCGAUGUUGGAUCAGGACAUCCUGAUGGUGCAACCGCUAUCAAGGGUUCGUUUGUUCAACGAUUAACAGUCCUACGUGAU
rnacentral:rRNA from 1 species